CCUAUUCAAGAUGGAGUCACUCUGGUUGAAAGGCCUCUGACACUAUUCUCAUUGUCUCAGCUGAAUCAAGUCUGAGAUUAUACCUCUCCCUCUGUUCCCUUCUCUCUAUGGCUAUUGAACUAUGGAAGCACUCCAUUUACAGGCAGAGAACUCUGCAUUUGAGCUGGGCAGAUGAAGAAACUAAACUGAGAACAGCCAAAUUACUUGCUCUUGUUUAAACAGCUAUUUAGCAGCAGAGCAGAGAAUCAGCGCAACUACCAUUUAUGGAAGGCCAACUGCAGACCAGAGAUACUGUUCUACAGUGUCAGGUGCCCAUUUGGAUCAACCAUCAGACCUAGUCAUGGAGAAAAGGCAGAAAACAGAAUGUAGGAAAGAAUGAGCCAGGAUCUUGUGGACCAAGCCGAAGCCUGAAUCUUCCUCGCCAGAAAAACCCCAGCAACCAAUUACCCUGGACGUGACGCCAAGGCCCACCUAGUGGUCAGCCAUCUGCCUAGGCAGACAAUAAAGCUCAAUUUU